CAAUAGUCAUCAAGCAGUCUGUGACAUCAUCAAAAGGCCCCCUGAAGACCAUGUGGUGAUUCAGCAAGCAACCAGAGAAGAAAGCAAGCUGCCUUGGCUGCAAAUCCUGAUCACCUGUCAAUCAGGAAUUUAUCAGAUGCUGCAGCUGAGAAGAGGCGAAAGCAAUGGCGGGAAAAUCAAAGAAAACACAGGGCAGAAGCUAAACGUAUAAGGGCAGUUCUGGAUCUUAUUAUACAGUAUUACCACCUGUUCAGUUCAUUUUUACGAAUAUGAUAUGCAUUAUGGAAUAAAAAUGAUUAUUAAUUUCA